rnacentral:rRNA from 1 species
UACAGAGGGUGCGAGCGUUGUUCGGAAUUAUUGGGCGUAAAGCGCAUGUAGGCGGUCUGUUAAGUCGCGUGUGAAAUCCCCAGGCUCAACCUGGGAAGUGCGCGCGAAACUGGCGGACUUGAGUGCCGGAGAGGGUGGCGGAAUUCCCGGUGUAGAGGUGAAAUUCGUAGAUAUCGGGGGGAACACCAGAGGCGAAGGCGGCCACCUGGACGAACACUGACGCUGAGACGCGAAAGCGUGGGGAGCAAACAGG